GUGGGGAAUCUUGCGCAAUGGGCGAAAGCCUGACGCAGCCAUGCCGCGUGAAUGAUGAAGGUCUUAGGAUUGUAAAAUUCUUUCACCGGGGACGAUAAUGACGGUACCCGGAGAAGAAGCCCCGGCUAACUUCGAGCCAGCAGCCGCGGUAAUACGAAGGGGGCUAGCGUUGCUCGGAAUUACUGGGCGUAAAGGGCGCGUAGGCGGACAGUUUAGUCAGAGGUGAAAGCCCAGGGCUCAACCUUGGAAUUGCCUUUGAUACUGGCUGUCUUGAGUACGGGAGAGGUGAGUGGAACUCCGAGUGUAGAGGUGAAAUUCGUAGAUAUUCGGAAGAACACCAGUGGCGAAGGCGACUCACUGGCCCGUUACUGACGCUGAGGCGCGAAAGCGUGGGGAGCAAACAGGAUUAGAAACCCGAGUAGUCC
rnacentral:rRNA from 1 species